CAGUCGCCGCGGUAAUACGAGGGGGGCAAGCGUUGUUCGGAAUUAUUGGGCGUAAAGGGUGCGUAGGCGGCGAUCAAAGUCAGGCGUGAAAUUCCUGGGCUCAACCUGGGGGCUGCGCUUGAUACUUGGUUGCUUGAGUGGGGAAGAGGGUCGUGGAAUUCCCAGUGUAGAGGUGAAAUUCGUAGAUAUUGGGAAGAACACCGGUGGCGAAGGCGGCGACCUGGUCCUUUACUGACGCUGAGGCGCGAAAGCGUGGGGAGCAAACAGGAUUAGAUACCCGGGUAGUCCCUGUCUCUUAUAC
rnacentral:rRNA from 1 species